rnacentral:tRNA from 1 species
GCGGACGUGGCGAAACUGGUAGACGCAGCGGACUUAAAAUCCGCCGCCUUACGGCUUACGGGUUCGACCCCCGUCGUCCGCACCA